ACCAUACUAUCUAUAGCCGUGCCCGGGCGCAACUCGAUCUCUCUCGUAACGGAUCUCGACGUUCACACACGUCCGCUCCCGACCCACUCGCGAUAGGAUCCUAGUCCUGAACCUCCGGGCGGCGUGCCCGCGCGAACGACGAUCGACACGGCAACACCACCGCCGCGUCGAUCCCGAACUCCCGCCCCUUCUUGGUCUUUGACGACCGGCACCUUUGACACCGUCGAUCGUCGUUACGACUGCAGCAAAACCGGCCCCCUUCGUCAAAAUUAUAAAAUUAAUAAAUCUUCUUUCGGCUCAAUAGAUAACAAAUUCUAUCUCAACUCAAAUUCAACGCGUUACCUACUUUCUUCAUUCUCGAUCAUCUAUCUACGGGUAACACAAACAUUAAUAUGUUGGCUACGGGGGAAGCCAGCACGAAGUCACAACAACACCUUUAUCAAUACUCCUUCCCUCGUACGCCACAACAUUAUCAAAUACACAGAUAUGUAUAACCCACGGCUAUAGAUAGUAUACUAUCUUUAAUCGUGCUCCACAGGUAAACAUAAUGUUGGACUGGGUGAGCUUACAUCACAGACUGGAAACGAAUUUUGUUCAGGUAGCUCUACUGUGAGUUUCCUCUUCACCGCCCUGUCACUGUUAAUUCUUCUCUCAAAUUUACUUAGUAUGGAUUAGACUGUUCAAAAUGGUGAUGGUAAAGGAUUGUCCAGAGUAUAAUAUUCUUUUCGAUGAUGAUUUUAAUAGUGAAUACUGUUGAACAUAAAAACGAUAAUAAUCUAUUCCUGUUUAUGUCUGUAUUCAGAAUAAUUGUUCUGAUGGGAAAUCAAUUACUACUUGCUCUUCAAAUAAUAAAAAUACUGUUAAACGUGCAAAUUGCAGUCUACCUACAUACUAAUGAAGAAAUUUCUGUGAUAAAUACAGUUCCUCAAUAAAUUCUAAUUUUCAAACAUUAUUUCAAUUACCUUCGCCUUCGUUCCAGUUCUGCGACAUUAAUAAUUCUUCAUGGUGCACCUCGAUGGUCUCCUCACAAAACACUCGGCCGACUAACAAUUUAAACACGAUCACCGUCUAUUGGUCCUGGAGGUUGAAGAGCGAUUUAAAUAAUACAAAUAAGAUAGUUCAAUAUAGAAAAUUGUGUAAAUGUGUACGUAAUAAGUGAUCAUUAGUGUGAGUGACUGUUUACAAAAUAAAUAGCUGAACGCUUCCUCAUUUUCA